GUGCCAGCCGCCGCGGUAAUACGGAAGAUGCGAGCGUUAUCCGGAUUUAUUGGGUUUAAAGGGAGCGUAGGCGGGAAGUUAAGUCAGUUGUGAAAGUCUGCGGCUCAACCGUAGAAUUGCAGUUGAUACUGGCUUUCUUGAGUGCGGCAGAGGCAGGCGGAAUUCGUGGUGUAGCGGUGAAAUGCUUAGAUAUCACGAGGAACCCCGAUUGCGAAGGCAGCUUGCGGGAGCGCAACUGACGCUGAAGCUCGAAGGUGCGGGUAUCGAACAGGAUUAGAUACCCUGGUAGUCCGCACGGUAAACGAUGGAUGCCCGCUGUGUGCCUAUUGGUAUGCGGCCAAGCGAAAGCGUUAAGCAUCCCACCUGGGGAGUACGCCGGCAACGGUGAAACUCAAAUGAAUUGACGG
rnacentral:rRNA from 1 species